UGUGGUCGCAGUAGGUCACGCUUCACCAGUAAUAUGAGCUACUGUGCAAAGCACCGGUGAAAGAUAAGUAGGCAAAAUGAUGUCUCAAAAAAGGACUAUAUCCUUCAGGGACAGAGAAAAGAUGGAGGAAGAGGAAGAAGAUAAAAAAGCCUAGAUAAAGAUAUGUCCAUUUCCAUACUCUGCAGAGUACCCCCAUCCUCUGUGCCCACUGUUUCCUCUGUCUGCGACUACUGCUGAUCUGCCUGAUGCCAUCUCCACCAAACUCCACUUCAUCCACCUGGGAAGAAAAGGACACCUGCAUCACAAUACUGCUCCUAGGUGUUGUUCAGCAUUCAAAACUCUCAAUACUGAGCAUCGAAUAAGAAAACGAUACCAACUUUGUGAUCAAUCCACUUCUCACACUGCUGACAGCAGUGGUCAGCUCCACCCACAUCCAACUUUGUUCAUCAUAAUACCUUGGCCUGGGUGUAGCAGGUUCUGUGGUGUACCCGCUACAGAGAACCAGUUGUGCAGCCUCAGUUAGAAGCAGUCUGAGAAGAAAAUGAGGAGCGUUCACAUGUUGGCUCAUACUCAACAUGUUCUACAUAAGGACUAGAGAGUUAAUUAUUUGCAGCUGCAUUGCAAUCUGGUUUGGGAAUUGUACUACAAGAGCCUACAGUGCAGAGUGAGGACAGGUAAAAAGACUAUUGGUGUUUCUCUGCCCUGUCUAGCUAAUCAACAUUUGCAUGACCCGCUGCACUUGUAGUAAUUUAGAAGUGUGAUGGCAGCCCACCCACCCAUUUCAUUGCUUCCUCUCCCUUCAGUCCUCUGAAAAAAAGUAUUGCAACAUGUAGGCUUUAAAUACCAAUAUGGGAAACAAUUUUUCUUCACAUAAGCCACCAGACUCCUGAAUGCACUCUCAAGUGCCUUCCCUAAGCUAAGUCUGUACUGUACAUACACACUAUCCUCAACUUAGUCUUUGUGUUAUAUUGUGUUGUUGGAAUGCAGAGAAGCCUCUCAUUUCUCCACAUACCAUUUAGGUGGUUGAAAUAAUUUCUAUUUCAAUUGAACUUACAAUAUUAAACAUGAAAUGUCUUUAUUUUAUUGUAUUGCUUUAAGUUAAGAUGUUUUUAGUAGUGUCUGUUUUCAACAGUGAAAGAGAAUUUACUUUUGUUUAUUGACCACUUUUAUGUGUAUUGUCAAUACACUUAAUUUAAUAUAAUUAAUAUAAUUGACAUUAAAUUAACUGUUGCUAAUAAUCUGCAACUAAUUAUUUCAUGAUAAUGAGAAAAAAAAACCCUAAACAUUAUUAAGUAACAAAGCAUAACCCACAUCAUUAAAGCCACUUCAAUAAAUGUGUCCUGCAGACACAUGUUUUGGGUUAGUGGAAGUUCUUGAUCUUUUUGACAGCAUUGGAGGAAAGUUGAUGUACAAUGUUCACUGUUCUUUGGUCUGCCCUUUUGACUCCUUUUUUCCUUCUCUAUGUGACCAGAUCACUGUCUAUAUCCGGGCCAGGAUCUUGAGUAGCGCACGCUUUCAUGUUCUAGAUAAUAAAUUACUCAUGAAAUA